UACGUAGGUGGCAAGCGUUGUCCGGAUUUAUUGGGUUUAAAGGGUGCGUAGGCGGUCUAUUAAGUCAGUGCUGAAAUAUCCCGGCUUAACCGGGAGGGUGGCAUUGAUACUGAUGAGCUUGAGUAAAGUUGAGGUAGACAGAAUUGAUGGUGUAGCGGUGAAAUGCAUAGAUAUCAUCAAGAAUACCGAUUGCGAAGGCAGUUUACUAAGCUUUAACUGACACUGAGGCACGAAAGUGUGGGGAUCAAACAGG
rnacentral:rRNA from 1 species